AGACCCUCGACGGACUUCAGGAGAGGUGGGAAGAUCAAUUAAAAGAAAUUGUUUUUGCCCACAACUCUUGUGUUCAGUCUUCUUCUAGGUUCUCGCCUUUCCGCCUGAUGUAUGGGCGUGAGCCACGACUCUUUUGUGAGGUAAUUCAAUUCACCUGAAACUUUUUGAAUGUAGCAUACAAAUAUUAUAGACUACGAUGUUCUGUCAUGUUAUGUGACAUUGCAUUACAUGAUACAUUAGGUCACUGGAGGAGACUCUCCGGAGGAGGCGGACGUCGACAGUCCAGAUGAGGCGGACGUCGAGGCCUAUGUCGAGGAGCGACACAGGAAAGAUGCCGAGGUUUUUGAAAAGGUAAGUAAAUAUUUAGCGAGUUGACACCUGUAGCGUGUGGACAAUGUUAACAAAGGUCAGUUGUGCACAAAAUUGCUUUGUUACAUAACCAGGUGCAUGCCAACCUGGAGAGGGCCCAGCAGAGACAGAGAAAUGCCUACAGGAAGAGGAUUAAGAAGGGGACCAAGAGGUAUCCUAUCAGGCCAGGGAUGGUGGUGUUGAAGAAGGAUGAGCGGAAGCGCGGGAGGCCAGGCAUGACGAUGAAGCCUACUUGGCCAAACAAGUACAAGGUGGUGAAGGUGGAGGACAAUUUUGUGGAGCUGGAGACCAUGGAUGGAAUCCCUCUGACUUCCAGGACACCCUACGCUUCAGUGAAGCCAGUUCGUAUCAGUAUGUGCUCUACUGUUAUACUUAUACUCAUACUUAUGUUAGUCUGCUAUGCCUAAACAUCUUUUCUUACUUGCUCUGGUGCAUUUCCAAAGUUGUCAUUUAUGUGUGCACAGUAGUCAGAGAGAAUAAAAGUUCAAGCCUUUUCUCUUUUGCCA
rnacentral:lncRNA from 1 species